UCCGUAGGGUGCGAGCGUUGUCCGGAAUUAUUGGGCGUAAAGAGCUCGUAGGCGGUCUGUCGCGUCUGCUGUGAAAACUCAGGGCUUAACCCUGAGCUUGCAGUGGGUACGGGCAGACUAGAGUGCGGUAGGGGAGACUGGAAUUCCUGGUGUAGCGGUGAAAUGCGCAGAUAUCGUCAAGAACACCUAUAGCGAAGGCAGCUUACUAGGCUGUAACUGACGCUGAGGCACGAAAGUGUGGGGAUCAAACAGG
rnacentral:rRNA from 1 species